rnacentral:rRNA from 1 species
GUCCACGCCCUAAACGAUGUAUACUAGUUGUCGGAGGGUAACUCCUUCGGUAACGCAGCUAACGCGUGAAGUAGACCGCCUGGGGAGUACGGUCGCAAGAUUAAAACUCAAAGGAAUUGACGGGGACCCGCACAAGCGGUGGAUGAUGUGGAUUAAUUCGAUGCAACGCGAAAACCUUACCUACCCUUGACAUGCCACUAACGAAGCAGAGAUGCAUUAGGUGCCCGAAAGGGAAAGUGGACACAGGUGCUGCAUGGCUGUCGU